UUUCCUCUGAACUAAUCACACCGCCAUCUUCCCAUGAUCCCCCCAGUGAUACUUUUUAUAAGCAUGAGAAAGUUUAAGGAAAAAUGAGUGGAGGACAUUUUGGGAAAAGGUGGGAAUGAACUUGAAAAAGUUAUUUGGAGCUGCAUUUUAUGGAGAGUUUGGGUAGAUCUUCACUAGAGUUCUAAAAAUGAAGUGAUGGAAGACCGGGUAAUUUUACAGAUGACUUGGAGGUAUCAUUUUCUCCAACUGUUUUAUUCUACAGCCAAGAAAAGGGUAAAGGAUUUAAGUAUUGGUGUUUAUUAAUGUCCUGCCAUUUUCCAGGAGGACUUUGAGGUAGCUUGGUUUAAGUGAUUUGUACCUAGCCAGUUUGCCACAUAGUUAAAACUUAGCUUUAAGGAGGUUAGUGUAUAGUCACUGUAUCAGACAGCUAAGAGGCUGUGGAUAAAUUGGCUGUGACAAGCUUAUGGGCAGAGAAAAAUCUUAACUCUCAACAAUGCCUUAACAUAUAAGUUGCAGUAUUUGUUUUGUAACUGACAAGGAAAUGGCAGAGGACAAGCCCAGUGUUUUUUCUCUGUUUAAUGCUGAUAUGACUGCAUUUGGAAUGUGUAGUACUAGUCACACUUUUCAAGAAUAUUGUAAUCUCAAAAGUUUAAGAUUAGAGGCUUGGAAUUAUUUUGUCUAAAAUGAUUGACUUUUUUCUAGAGAAGACGACCAGCAAGCUUGUAGAAAACUGGGCCAGAAAAUGAACAAAUAGUUCAUUGGGAAAAUGCAAAGGGUUCUUAACCACCUGAAGAGAUGUUCAACCUCACUCAUAAUAAGAAAAAUGAAAAUUAAAAGUAUAUGGAGUUACCAUUUCUCACCUGUUGUAUUCAACAUUACAAGUCACUUUGUUGACAGUUGCGAGGAAACACGCUGUCCUGCAUUACCAAUGGGCAUUGCAUCAGUCCAUUGCUGACCUCCAGUCCCUGUGGAGGACUAUAAGUAUUGGCUCAAGAGAAAGGAGAUAUAAAUAUUAAUAAAAUCUGUAUAGUCCUGUUUUUAAUUAUCAUUAUAAACUUGAUAUUUAAUAAAAAUAGACAUAUUCAGCAGGAAAAGGACGAGAUAAACCUACAGCAUCUUGUCAUACCAGAAAGCAAGGAAGCUGUCAAGGACUGUUUAGUUGGCUCUCAAAAGGACUCAUCAGCCAAUUGGAAGAUAGCACAAUUUGAAUAGCCAUAUAGAAAAUAAUAACUGCAAUGGGUCGAAACACUGACUAUGCUUAAAUACAUGAGUUCAGAAUGAUAAUAAAGAUACAUAUGCCAUACAGAAACCAAAGCACUAAUUACCACUGGAGGAUGCUAGCAAGCUAUUUCAGUAUUUGAAAACUGGUAAAUAAACAGAAAAGAAUUCAAUAUUUUGUAAAGUUCCCAUACAAACUGUACCUUGGGGCAGGCAAGCAGUAAAUGAGGAAUACUCUUUAAAAAAUAUAUUCCAUUUAAUAAGUGAAAAAGGACUGAUGGAAUUACAAUAUCACCAAUCUGUAACUUCUAAUGAGUCAAUGGAGAUAAUAAGCAUUGGUCCUGCUAUUGAUCAGCUGCUGAAAGCACACAGACACAUUCUUAACAGUACAUGCUUUCAGGUGAAGGAACACACUGCUACCCAUAGAGGGCGUUUACCAGAAAAAUCAAAUCUAAAUCUGAUCAAGCAUCUCCCAGUUUACAGGAAAUAGGACAGAAGAUCAUGUUGAAUGACACCAAAGGAUGCAAUUAGCAUGUUUCUUCAAUAAGUUGCAAAGAAAAAGGGGAACCUAUGGAGUAAGAGGUACUUAGGAGGUGCCAACCAGUCACAAUGUGUGUACCUCACUUGCAUCUUGAAGCAAAGAAAUGUAAAACUUGAAAAAAAAAAGUAGAACUUAUGGUACAAUAAAAAAUUUAAAUACUGACUGGUUAUUUAAUGGUAUUAAAGAAUUAUUGUUUGUGAAAAUGGCAUACUGCAGCCAUGUUUAAUUUCUUUUAUUGAGAUAUAAUUGGCACAACAUACAAGUUUCAGGUGUAAACAUAAUAAUACAAUAUUUGUACAUAUGUUUAAUUUUUUAGAGUGGUUCUAUAAACACCUACUAAAAUAAUUACAAUGAAAUGGCAUGAUGUUUGGUAUUUGCUUCAAAAUAAUAUAAAGAGGGAAUAUAAAUGAAAUAGGAUUGACUGUGAAUUGUUAAUUAUUGGAAUUGAGUAACUGGUAUGUUCAUUAUAUUGUUCCAUUCAA